rnacentral:rRNA from 1 species
UACGAAGGGUGCAAGCGUUACUCGGAAUUACUGGGCGUAAAGCGUGCGUAGGUGGUGAGUUAAGUCUGUCGUGAAAGCCCCGGGCUCAACCUGGGAAUGGCGAUGGAUACUGGCUCGCUAGAGUGCGGUAGAGGAGAGUGGAAUUCCCGGUGUAGCAGUGAAAUGCGUAGAGAUGUGGAGGAACACCAGUGGCGAAGGCGACUUUCUGGUCUAUAACUGACACUGAGGCGCGAAAGCGUGGGGAGCAAACAGG